rnacentral:rRNA from 1 species
CCAAUAGCGUAUAUUAAAGUUGUUGCAGUUAAAAAGCUCGUAGUUGAAUUUCGGGAUCAGUACGCCGGUCGUGCCUUCGGUAUGCACUGGUGUCACUGGUUUCUCCCUCCUGAAGAACCAUCAUGCCAUUCAGUUGGUGUGGCGGGGAAUCAGGACUGUUACUUUGAAAAAAUUAGAGUGUUUAAAGCAGGCUCGCGCUUGAAUACAUUAGCAUGGAAUAAUGAAAUAGGACGUUUGACCCUAUUUUGUUGGUUUCUAGGAUCGACGUAAUGAUUAAUAGGGAUAGUUGGGGGCAUUAGUAUUCAAUUGUCAGAGGUGAAAUUCUUGGAUUUAUUGAAGACUAACUACUGCGAAAGCAUUUGCCAAGGAUGUUUUCAUUAAUCAAGAACGAAAGUUAGGGGAUCGAAGACGAUCAGAUACCGUCGUAGUCUUAACCAUAAACUAUGCCGACUAGGGAUCGGAUGAUGUUAAUUUUUUUAAUGACUCAUUCGGCGCCUUACG